AGGCAACAAGACUGAGAUAUCCAAAUCUGAGCUCAUACAGAAGAGUGCAUACUGUAGGGUUUCAGGACGGGACAUGGAUCUUGUUGAACUUUCUGCCUAUGGAAAUGUCCGGCGAGGGCCAGAUUCAGGGGGCUGCAAAAUCCAAUGAAGUAGAUAUAUCUGAAUGGCGUCAAAGUUCGAAGUAGUUUCCUGAGGCUCAAUGGAGAAAGCUUGAUUCAUUGUUCUGUCAAAUAUCUCCAAUCAUGUUUAUACUAUGUAGCUUAACACUUCAAGUGAUUUACCCCAGAAAAUAAAUCGUGAUAUAUUUGAAUCAA